rnacentral:piRNA from 1 species
UUCAUUGGUGAAGUCCUGCUUGCUAGGGAA